AUGGUAGGAUCACAAGCUGAUGAGACUGAUUGGGAGAACCUGACAAACAAACAGCUACAUGAUAAAUUUCAGCAAAUGAUGAGUGGACAGGUGCAAGAUGUGCUAAACAGAUUUGACGAGGCCAUGGAGAAGAUAGAUGGCAUUGAGAAGACGUUCAAAACAAAGCUUGAUAGCAAGUUCAAUGAAUUCCUCGCGCGUUUUCCACAACCACCGCCGGCUGCACCUAUCGCACCUCUGCAACAACAACAACAACGCCCCCUUCCUAAUCAGUAUGGACGAGCGAAGCGUGUUCCUCUUAAGGGUGGCCAAACUUCUGGUGCUACUGUACCUGUUGUUGAUGCUUCUUUGGCUCCUGCUACUGCUGUUGCUGGUACCCAGGAGGAUGAUGAGUAUGCGGGCGAUUAUGAGGAUGAGGUUGAUCAAAAUCAGAACUACGUGCAGCCACCAGCACCACCACCAGCAGGUCGACCUCAGGUAUUUAUUCGCAAUGGUAGGCCUGCACCACCACCUCAGGUACGUGAUCAUGACCAUGUUCCUAAACUGAAAUUGAAUAUUCCACCAUUUGAGGGUAGAUAUGUUCCUUAUAUAUAUCUUACUUGGGAGUUAGAAACUGAACAACGUUUUACAUGUUUGCAAUAUCCCGAGGAGAGACGGGUUGUUGCUGCUGUUUGUGCUUUCACUAGUUUUGCAUGUGUAUGGUGGUCUGAACAUUGUAGAUUAUAUCCUAUUCCAGCUACUUGGGCUGCUUUGAAAACUGCUAUGCGUACUCGUUGGGUUCCACCAUAUUAUCAACGUGAAUUGCUUCAAAAAUUGCAACGUUUGAGACAAUGA
rnacentral:rRNA from 1 species